CUUGAGUUUCUUGUUCAUUCUGUUUUUUACACUCUUCACAUUUCUUCAUUACCUUUAGUAGAUUGUUGUUCCUAGCUCUGAGAGUAUGUUGGACUACUUUCAGCUGCGGGUGUGGCAAGCACACAAGUCUGUGUACAAGUUGGCCUCUCCUCAACAAACCGAAUCACUGAAGAACUCUGCAAGAAGAAAGACCUACCCAGGAAAUCUGAGAUGGCUACUGAUCCUGUCAGGAAGGCAUUCUCAAAGGGAGAAGUGUGUAUAUAGAGAGGAUGCUGUCUGAAGACUAGGAGGCAAUUCUGUUCCGUACUGAGAAAUAUUAAGGCCAUCAGUCUCAAUCCCACCCUUGCUAAUCCAUCCAAACAGAUCAGAAAUAUAUUCUUUGCCCUUUGCCUUUUCACUAUCACUGAUCUCAUUCUUCAAAUAGAAAUGCUAAAUUAUCAAGACAGUCUCUGAUCUUGUUUUGUCAGUCUAAAUCCAGUGCUUUUUCAGUGAAGUAGAUAGCUCAAUUAAAUUAUUAUGGACUUAA